rnacentral:rRNA from 1 species
GACGAACGCUGGCGGCGUGCUUAACACAUGCAAGUCGAACGGAAAGGCCCUGCUUUUGUGGGGUGCUCGAGUGGCGAACGGGUGAGUAACACGUGAGUAACCUGCCCUUGACUUUGGGAUAACUUCAGGAAACUGGGGCUAAUACCGGCUAGGAGCUCCUGCUGCAUGGUGGGGGUUGGAAAGUUUCGGCGGUGGGGGAUGGACUCGCGGCUUAUCAGCUUGUUGGUGGGGUAGUGGCUUACCAAGGCUUUGACGGGUAGCCGGCCUGGGAGGGUGACCGGCCACAUUGGGACUGAGAUACGGCCCAGACUCCUACGGGAGGCAGCAGUGGGGAAUAUUGCACAAUGGGCGGAAGCCUGAUGCAGCAACGCCGCGUGCGGGAUGACGACCUUCGGGUUGUAAACCGCUUUCGCCUGUGACGAAGCGUGAGUGACGGUAAUGGGUAAAGAAGCACCGGCUAACUACGUG